UUUUCAAUUUUCAAAAAAAGUGAAAUCUCAUGCUUUUGGCUUGGGAAAGUCCCCUGUGGCUAGGCUUGUGAGGCACUAACCAAAGAAUUUACUUUAGAUUUCACUCAGUAUUUUCUCAUUCUGAUUGAAUGCUAACUGACCUAUUUAUCGUUAGCACUCAGGUAUUUGGCACACAGCAAUUUGCAAUAAAUUGUGUGACUUGUCUCUAUUGAAAAGUUCUGACCCUGACUCAAAAAAGAAGAAAAAAGAAUGUAGAUCCUGGAUGCAGCUCCAAUAGGUAACAGAUGUUGCCAUAGGUGGAUGCAGUGACCAUUUUUUCAGCAUAAUUCAGGCAGUUCAAAGACAGUGACUGGCUAAUUUUGAGUCCAGAAUGAAUCUGGUCAUGGGAAUCGCUCACAGUAUUUUGCAAGUGUGGUUUCUGAGUUAGCAGAAAUUCAAAGAAAGCAGUAGGAUUCUAUAUACUGGAUAUCCUCAAUGACUACGAUCUGAAAUUAUGUUCAUUUCUUAUCUGAUGUCUAUUUUGCAUCUGAAAUGUAUCAUUGGAAGGUUGCAGUUAUUCAUAGAUGAAUCAGUGUCUAACCUGAGCCUCAGGCUGAGACCAAUUUUGUCUCAAAAACUGAACACCUUUCUACGUGCCACUGUAUAGCUUUCCAUUUUAACUAGGGGAUACUCUUAUAGCCAUAAAUCCAACAUGAUGCUAGGAGUAGCAUUGAGAUUUUUAUGUCUUCUCCCUGAAAUCCUUUCUUGCAGUAUAAAUAUGGUCUAGAGACUGUCUGAGACAUCUGAAGCAGGCUUUAGAGGUAUUUAAAGGUAUUUGGGGUGGCCAUGUGAAGGGAACUCUAUACCUCCUGCUUGCAUUUACAGAAGCUGCUUCUCUAAUCUUAUUGGCAGCACUUGAUAAUGGUCACAAAGCCCACAUUCCUUUUCCAUAAGCAGAGAUUAUUUGACUUCAGAUUUAACAAGGCCGUUGAGCCUGACUUCCCAGCUGCUUUAAAGGACUAAAAAAGCUCCUAACUUCAGUGUGUGCAGUUAAAUCCAAUUUUAAUGAAUUCUAAUCUAAAGUCUCUUUAUGUGUAAAAUAAAUGUCAGUAUCAACUUUGUUUUUACUAGGGCUGAGUGGAUAUCCCAUGUUCUAUUGUGGGUUUUUUUUAAUAUGAGUUAACUCUGUCCUGCAUCACGUUCAGUCUCCUGAAUUCCCCUCAAGAAAUUCUGCAGUGGUUUUAAGAAAGCAGCUUGCUGUCAAAUUUUUCUCCAUUGCUAGAGCGUGUUUUGCCAUUUACAUAAGUCAUAUGUACACACAGUAAUGCACAUGAAAAAGAUGAUUAUUUUUUCCAGCAUGCAUCCCAAAGCAUUAUCUCACUAAGAUUUCUUUCAAAGAAGCCUCGUGUGCACAUAUUUUUCAAUAAAGGAAGCACUAAGUGGCAUGCUGCACACUCACAACCUGAAACAAUCUCACAAUAUCUCCCUGGAACAUAACUAAAAUGGCCUUCCAUGCUUCACUGUCUACAAAUAUAGUGGUGGGAAAGGGUAGCCGAUUGCAGCUACUUUGGGAAGUGGUAGAUCAGCAAAUCAAAUAGACUAGGAAGUGAUAGUCUCCUGUUUGAAGAUUAGAAACUAUAAAAAAGAGGAGAGGAUGUUGGUACUCUACAUUGUGUCCAGGAUAGUUCAGGUGGAAAAAGAGCAUAUUUCCCGCCCUCAUUUACUUUUGCUCUUUACAGGAGAACUCCUUGAUGUUGAGACACAGUUUUAUAUACUAGACAGCAGGAUGAGCAGUCAAAAGGAGAUCCCAAAUCACGCUAGGUAUCAAGUGAAUUUCCCAGCAUCCAGUGGUUGGAGAUGAUGAGUAGGCAAUAGGAAGAUCCAGACAUCGUUGUUGUUGUUGUUGUUGUUGUUAUAUUUAUACCCUGCUUUAUCUCCCCAAAGGGGACUCAAAGCUGCUUGACAUAAAAGCAUUAGUAUACAAUUUAAAAUAUACACAUAUACAAACAUUAAAACAGAAUAAACACAAACAGCACUAAAUAAUUGCAGUUAAAAUCCAUCAAAACAUAUUCAAAGUUAAAAAGACAUUUUCUCUCAGUGAACAAUCUAGAAUUGGUUCUAAGGUUGGAAAUUUAAGUGAUACAUUCACAUAUAUUUCGCAACUUCCCAAACAAGGGAUUUUUAGAAAUACAAGAGGAUGGAGAAGACUGAUAGAUUCUCCCACCCAUUUUUAGUUGAAAUGCUGUUCUUUCCAUAUCGGCCAUUCAUCAACAUAUGAGGGAAUAGUUGUGGCAAUUCCAAUUUAAGAGAUUUGGGAAAUCUUAAAUUAUUUGGACAUUAUAAAGAAUUACUUGUUAUUUAUUUUCUUAUAAUAAAAUAUAACUUCAUAGUGAUUGUAAUUCGCCCUCUUUGUAAGUUAGCUAUAACUUUUAAUGUUAAUUCUAUAGUUACAUCAAACUGGUUUCAUCCUUUUGCACAUAUUAAACUUUGGUAAGUUUUGCAGUUUUGAUGAUGUGGUGACAUGUUGGAGUAACAGUGAGUCCAGGUUUCUUCGGGUCUGUGUGCAGGGGUUCAUAAUAAAAUCAAUGAAAAUG